GGUAGAUAGCUUGCUAUUUACCAAGUGAGUCGCGAACGGGUGAGUAACGCGUAGGUAACCUACCUCUUAGCGGGGGAUAACUAUUGGAAACGAUAGCUAAUACCGCAUAAGAGUUGAAAUCGCAUGAUUUCGACUUAAAAGAUGCAACUGCAUCACUAAGAGAUGGACCUGCGUUGUAUUAGCUAGUAGGUGAGGUAACGGCUCACCUAGGCCACGAUACAUAGCCGACCUGAGAGGGUGAUCGGCCACACUGGGACUGAGACACGGCCCAGACUCCUACGGGAGGCAGCAGUAGGGAAUCUUCGGCAAUGGGGGGCAACCCCUGACCGAGCAACGCCCGCGUGAGUGAAGGAAGGUUUUUCGGGAUCGUAAAAGCUCUGUUGGUAAGAAGAAAGAACGGAAGUGUGUGGAGAGUGGGAAAGUCCACACCUGUGACCGGUAAUCUUUACCCAGAAAGGGGACGGGCUACUUACGUUGCCCAGCAGGCCGCGGGUAAAUACGUAGGUCCCCGAGCGUUGUCCGGGAUUUAUUGGGCGUAAAAGCGAGCGCAGGCGGUUUGAUAAGUCUGAAGUUAAAGGCUGUGGCUCAACCAUAGUUCGCUUUGGAAACUGUCAAACUUGAGUGCAGAAGGGGAGAGUGGAAUUCCAUGUGUAGCGGUGAAAUGCGUAGAUAUAUGGAGGAACACCAGUGGCGAAAGCGGCUCUCUGGUCUGUAACUGACGCUGAGGCUCGAAAGCGUGGGGAGCAAACAGGAUUAGAUACCCUGGUAGUCCACGCCGUAAACGAUGAGUGCUAGGUGUUAGGCCCUUUCCGGGGCUUAGUGCCGCAGCU
rnacentral:rRNA from 1 species